AGGACUAUCUGAAAGGCUUUGACAGGAGUGCCUCUUUAGUGAUUGAGGCAUCUUUUGCUCUGUCUGACCAAUUUUUUAGCACAAGAUUUUCUUCUCAGUUAAGACAAAAAAAAAAAAAAAAAAAAAGAUGUCUACCCAAAGACUGUCUGUGCUUUCUCCCCUUCUGCUCUUCUGCUUCUUCAGAGAGACUUUCUCCAUUUGUGACGGGACAACGUGGACAAAGGUCGGAUGGGAGAUUUUUCCAGAGGAAGUGCACUACCUGAAAGUUAAGGCCCCCCCAUCCAGCUGCCUACCUUAUCCUCUGGACACACUCUGCUGCAAUUUUGCUAACAUGGACCUCUUACAGAGCGCCUUACACCUCACUUACAUCUUAGUACAAGCUCUCUGCUUAAUCCUGUUUGCUUUAUCUGUGCAUUACCUAUGGAUGAAAUGGACAAGACACCAAAAAAAGCUGAAAAAGCAAGCUUCCUUAGAGAAACACGCUAAUGGCCUAGACCUGAGCCCAUCCAUCCAUGACAUUGAACAAAUCCUCUGCAGACUACUGGCCACAACAUCAAUGAUGACCAAGUUCCUGAAGCACGUGUCUCACCACUCUUCUGUCAAGAAAGCUAAGCAACAACGUAAAUUAAGGAAGAAGAAGAGUAAGGGAGAAGAGGAGCAGAAGAUCACUGCUAUCCCUAAGCUCGUGCAAAUGUAGCUUGGUCAAGUGCGGAGAGGACAAAAGCUCGUGCAAAUGUAGCUUGGUCAAGUGCGGAGUAUAAAAGAAAUCUAUUGCAGGGACUGUCUGAGGACACAAAGGUUUCUUUGGGGGCUUGCUUUUUUUUUUUUUGCCACAAUCAUUACAGAAAAAUUCUCAGACGAGCUCUGGGUUUCCGCUCAACUGAAAACGAAUCCACUCUUUCUAACGUGGCUCCCAGAAUAAACUGAGAACACCUUAACUGGAA
ensembl:antisense 4930469G21Rik RIKEN cDNA 4930469G21 gene